AUUCAGUAGCAGGAAGGAGUUUUGAGGUGUCGCGUUGAUUCCCCCCCACUGAUUCAGUAGCGGGAAGGAGUUUUGAGGUGUCGCGUUGUAUUCCUUCCCCCACUGAUUCAGUAGCAGGAAGGAGUUUUGAGGUGUCGCGUUGUAUUCCCUCCCCCACUGAUUCAGUAGCAGGAAGGAGUUGAGGUGUCGCGUUUUAUUCCCUCCCCCCCACUGAUUCAGUAGCAGGAAGGAGUUUUGAGGUGUUACGAUAUCAUAGAGCCUUUUAGCGUCACAGAAUACCAGUCUACUGAUAGCAUUAAUACAACGUUUGUUAGUUUGUACAUAUACCAGUAAUAGGAUCCAUGUUUCUCUAUCAUGUCUUUUACAUUUCUAGGAGAAGUUGUUGUUUUAACUCUAUUUUUUUGAGAUGAUCUGUCUGUCUGUGGAAGAUUUAUUGUUAAUAAUUGUAAAGGAUCAAAA
ensembl:lncRNA